UCCCACCCAUUUAUAAGCUUUCUUUUCUGUUUGUUUCCUUAAAAUCAAGCUCUUGGUCAACCUGUUCGGCAUUCCACUGUUGGUGGUUCUGCAGUUCUGCAGUGUUCAAAAGUUGGUGGUUCCACCAGUUUGACAAUAUUCAACCAGUUAUAUGUUCCAGUUUUCAAUUUUCUUGAAUGUCCUUGUCUAAACAGCUGUGUGUUAUCCCCCAUUAGACAAGUUGCUCUGCUUGUGUCACCUGGACCCUGGAGAGAAUUCUGUGCAAACGACAUUCAAGGCAUACCAAGACAACAGGCCUGUGGGGUGUUUGUGCUCAUGUAUGCCCUCUACUUUGUGAUGGAGUCAGCUUUUGAUUUCAGUGAGUUGGACAUGGAGCAUUUAAGGAGAUGGUGGUGCAUGCUACUCAUUGACAACUUCCCCGUGACAUUCGAAGGCAGAAGAUCAACCAAAAGACGAUUGGAGAGGGAAGACUGCGAAGACAGUCCCAGGGUAAGUAAUCAUGAUGACCCAGACCCACCCAAAAGAAGUAAAGUCG